UCAGAUUCCCAGCACUUAGCAUGAAGAUUGCUGAGAAUUGGCCGCCGGUGUGAGCUACAAGUCUGAGGCCAGCCCCUCCUAAUUCUUAAUCAAACUUCAGGUGUCUGCCUAUAAGUCCCCGUGAUUCUUAAAUUUCGAGACAAGAUCUAUGUUGCCUGGGCUUGCCAUCAACAAGUAGGCUCAGCAAUGCUGCCUCUCGCCCACUAGAGAUUUCUGUAUUCCUCUAGAGGACCUGAGAUUAUUUCCCAACACCCAUAUGGCAGCUAACAACUGCCUGAACUCCAGUCCCAGGGGAUCUGACACCUUCUGGCCUCCAAGGACACGGUAUACAUACACAUCCAGCUGUUCCAGAGAUGAAGGGAAACGAGACAGCUCACACUCUUUACUGAUCCGGUGGUGGGAACUGAACUGAAGAAACGCCAGAACUCAGUGGAAAUUCCAACUGUUCAUCAU